CCUCCGAGAAUUCUGGGGGCCGUGGGGCCGCCCAGCUCAGUCCGGAGCUCCGGAACUCGGGGAAGAGCGCCCGGGAGCUGGGUCUGGGUUCCGCACUCCGUCCGCCCCGGCGGCAAAGAGUGAGAUACGGACGCCCCGGGACGAGGGGCUCAGGACCCGGCUGCGGACACCUGCCUCCAUCUCCCGCCAGGUAUUUCACCCCAAGAAUAAAAUAAUAAUGCCAGAAGCUGAAGAGUAAUCAGGACCUCAGGAUUACUCACAGGAGCUGCAUCAAAAGAUCAGGGCGAAACAGACUUCAAGGAAAGAGCCCUUGGCUAGAGGAAGAAGCCUGGAGAAGUAAAGGGAUUGCUCCUGGAAUUGGAAAUAUACCCUUUGCACUUCGAUUUACUGCAUUUGGAUUGAUUUGCAAGAAUAACCAUUAAAAUAAUCAAAGCUAAAAGUACAAUGGAGUAAGUGUACUCACACCACCCUGUUCCUCCCACUGAAUGUGGAUAAGAAACCUGGGCAGAAUAAGUGGAGCAUCUGAGGACUCUGAAAAGUAAAUAAUAGCAGGCAGAUUGGAGAUGAAGACCAAAAUGGUGAGUGUGUCAUUUUUUCCCCUCCAGUUUCCUUUGAAAUGAACAUAAGACUGCCUGAAACCCAACAUAGAUACUAAGACACAGAGAGAGCUCAGGAGGGAUCUUCCAAUUAUGGCUCAUAGAGUGGGAAAG